rnacentral:rRNA from 1 species
UACGAAGGGGGCUAGCGUUGCUCGGAAUCAUUGGGCGUAAAGGGCGUGUAGGCGGUUUGUUAAGUCAUGUGUGAAAUCCCCCGGCUCAACCGAGGAACGACGCAUGAAACUGGCAAGCUAGAGUACCGAAGAGGGGGGUGGAAUUCCCGGUGUAGCGGUGAAAUGCGUAGAUAUCGGGAAGAACACCCGUGGCGAAGGCGGCUCUCUGGGACGGUACUGACGCUGAGACGCGAAAGCGUGGGGAGCGAACAGG